AUUGAACGCUGGCGGCAUGCUUUACACAUGCAAGUCGAACGGCAGCACGGGGGCAACCCUGGUGGCGAGUGGCGAACGGGUGAGUAAUGCAUCGGAACGUACCCAGUCGUGGGGGAUAACGCAGCGAAAGUUGUGCUAAUACCGCAUACGACCUGAGGGUGAAAGCGGGGGACCGUAAGGCCUCGCGCGAUUGGAGCGGCCGAUGUCUGAUUAGCUAGUUGGUGGGGUAAAGGCCCACCAAGGCGACGAUCAGUAGCGGGUCUGAGAGGAUGAUCCGCCACACUGGGACUGAGACACGGCCCAGACUCCUACGGGAGGCAGCAGUGGGGAAUUUUGGGACAAUGGGGGCAACCCUGAUCCAGCCAUGCCGCGUGCGGGAAGAAGGCCU
rnacentral:rRNA from 1 species